UACGUAGGGUGCAAGCGUUGUCCGGAAUUAUUGGGCGUAAAGAGCUCGUAGGCGGUUUGUUGCGUCGGCUGUGAAAUCCCGAAGGCUCAACCUCGGGUCUGCAGUCGAUACGAGCAAACUAGAGUGUUGCAGGGGAGACUGGAAUUCCUGGUGUAGCGGUGAAAUGCGCAGAUAUCAGGAGGAACACCGGUGGCGAAGGCGGGUCUCUGGGCAACA
rnacentral:rRNA from 1 species